GUGUAUAUAUAUAUAUAUAUAUAUUAAAACUGGAAAAGCAUAGAGAAGAUUAACACAGCCCAUGUGCAAGGAUGUUUCACACAUUUCUGAAUCAUUCCAUAUUUGU
ensembl:snRNA U6 U6 spliceosomal RNA